CACAUGAUAUUAUAAAUUUUGGUUGACUUAAUUAACAUCUAAAUGCCAUAAUUAAUCGUUAUUUAUUUUCAAUAUAUAGUCUGAGAAUUUCUACUUAAAUUCUUUUAUCAUAGCUAGAUGUGUGUGCAAUUUGGGUUUUUACUAGUCUGAGAUUACUUUGAUGUCAGUCUGUGUUUUCGGGGAAAGUGAGUCUACAUAGCAGUCUACAUAGAAGAUUUGACUGAAGGAAUAAAGUUUCUGUGUCUAAAUCACAAUGGAUCCUUUCCCAAACAAUUCAAUCAUAAAUCAUGUUUUCUCAUAUAAUUUUCUCCAUGACUAUUUAAAUGUUUAUUUGUAUAGAAAACUGAAAUUUUAUUCCCUUCAACCCUCCAUAAGUCUUUGUAAAACUAAAACUGAAAGUAGAAUGUCACUUUUUGGUUCCUUAAAUAUGACAUUGCACAGUAUAAUAAAUCUUAUCAAAUACAUGGUUGUCAACUAAAUGUACUACAUUUUGGUUGGCGACUUCAAAUUUGUUUUAAUUGGAAAUCUACUUCAAACAUCACUCCUUAUCUCUGCUACUUACCAUUAAUGCAUUAUCUAAUUAUCCAUGAGUUUUAACCCUGUCUAAAUUGACAAAACUCUUUAUUAGGGGUACACAAGCUGCCUGACAUGAUUCUACUAAAUUUUCAUAAGUGAUUGGAAUUUUGAAUAUGAGAAUUGAACUUCAAAAGUUCAGCUUAAAGUGGAUCAGGCCUAUUCGAUGUUCCUGUCAGAAGUGCCAAAUGUUUUUUUUUUUUUAAUCUAAACAGAGAGCAAAUGAAAGUGGUCAGAAAAAAAUAGGGGUCCUGGACCAUUCAAGCUCAAAAACUUUAAAACAGGUAUGUAAAAGGGACCAUUUUCAAUGAAAUGAUAGGGUAAAUAGAGGUGUUGGUGUUGGUCCAAAACUGUAGUAUAAAAAGAUGAAAUAUAGCUUCAAAGAAUAAGCAAAUAAAAAAUAUAGGUCAACAAUGAGGAAAAAAGAAUAUAUUGCCGUAAAACCUAAAAUUUUGGCCGGAAAAUGGUGAAAUUGGGUGAAAUGUCAUUUUGAGCCUUUCCCAGACACACAUAAUAAUGGUAAUAAUUUUUAGUGACAAAAAUACAAUAAUUUAACAUUUUUAAUUAAUCAAAAUAUUAAAAAAAAUAAUAGUGAAUUUAUGACACAGACUGUUCCAGUGCUUGGUAAUUCAUGCAUGAUAUUAUGUGCCGUGGAAUAGUCCUGAUCCCCUUCAAGUACAAUAGCAAACUGUGAAAAGAGAUCAAAUCUCAAUUCAAAAAAAUUGCUUGGAGGGAGAUCUCUUACUUUGGUUGAAAAAGAUGACAUCUAUGUGUGCAUACAAAUAUUACAAAAAUCAUAGUAAAAAGAGGGAAUUCAUAUUUGAAAUUAUGGUAAAAAUACCAAUAUCACAGUUCGUUUCAUACUUUGAAUAAACUUUAUAAAAUAAACAUUAAAAAAAGUUCAUAACAAAAAAACAAUGGUCAAUAAACCUGAGCAUUACACAAUAUCCAAUAUAUCUAUAACCAGAUGCUCCGCAGGGCGUAGCUUUAUACGACCGCAGAGGUUGAACCCUGAACGGUUGGGGCAAGUAUGGACACAACAUUCAAGCUGGAUUCAGCUCUAAAUUUGGAUUGUGAUUAAAUAGUUGACACAGCAUAGGUUUCUGACACAGAAUGAAUGUGUUCUAAUGAACUUAAAAUUUUUGUUUUCUCUUAGAGCAAUUCACUAUGCUGUUGAAUAUUAAUCCUCUCAAAAAAUGUUUAAAGAAAUUUUCUUUUUUAUUU
rnacentral:lncRNA from 1 species